rnacentral:rRNA from 1 species
CGACGGGUGAGUAACGCGUGAGGAACCUGCCUCAGAUGGGGGAUAACACACCGAAAGGUGUGCUAAUACCGCAUAACAUAUGGGAGGGGCAUCCCUUUCAUAUCAAAGAUUUAUUGCUCUGAGAUGGCCUCGCGUCCAAUUAGCUAGUUGGCGGGGUAACGGCCCACCAAGGCGACGAUUGGUAGCCGGACUGAGAGGUUGAACGGCCACAUUGGGACUGAGACACGGCCCAGACUCCUACGGAAGGCAGCAG